AUUAAACGCUGGCGGCAUGCCUUACACAUGCAAGUCGAACGGCAGCACGGGGGCAACCUUGGUGGCGAGUGGCGAACGGGUGAGUAAAGCAUCGGAACGUGCCCUGGAGUGGGGGAUAACGUAGCGAAAGUUACGCUAAUACCGCAUAUUCUGUGAGCAGGAAAGCAGGGGAUCGCAAGACCUUGCGCUCUGGGAGCGGCCGAUGUCGGAUUAGCUAGUUGGUGGGGUAAAGGCCUACCAAGGCGACGAUCCGUAGCGGGUCUGAGAGGAUGAUCCGCCACACUGGGACUGAGACACGGCCCAGACUCCUACGGGAGGCAGCAGUGGGGAAUUUUGGACAAUGGGCGAAAGCCUGAUCCAGCCAUGCCGCGUGAGUGAAGAAGGCCUUC
rnacentral:rRNA from 1 species